CGAACGAACCCUUCGGGGUGAGUGGCGCACGGGUGCGUAACGCGUGGGAACCUGCCCUUAGGUUCGGAACAACAGUUAGAAAUGACUGCUAAUACCGAAUAAUGUCUACGGACCAAAGAUUUAUUGCCUUUGGAUGGGCCCGCGUUGGAUUAGCUUGUUGGUGAGGUAAAGGCUCACCAAGGCGACGAUCCAUAGCUGGUCUUAGAGGAUGACCAGCCACACUGGGACUGAGACACGGCCCAG
rnacentral:rRNA from 1 species